rnacentral:rRNA from 1 species
UACGUAGGGGGCAAGCGUUGUCCGGAAUCAUUGGGCGUAAAGAGCUCGUAGGCGGUCUGUCGCGUCGGAUGUGAAAAUCCAGGGCUCAACCCUGGACCUGCAUUCGAUACGGGCAGGCUAGAGUUCGGUAGGGGAGAUCGGAAUUCCUGGUGUAGCGGUGAAAUGCGCAGAUAUCAGGAGGAACACCGGUGGCGAAGGCGGAUCUCUGGGCCGAUACUGACGCUGAGGAGCGAAAGCGUGGGGAGCGAACAGG